CCUACGGGUGGCAGCAGUGAGGAAUAUUGGUCAAUGGGCGCGAGCCUGAACCAGCCAAGUAGCGUGAAGGAUGACUGCCCUACGGGCUGUAAACUUCUUUUAUAAAGGAAUAAAGUGAGGCACGUGUGCCUUUUUGUAUGUACUUUAUGAAUAAGGAUCGGCUAACGCCGUGCCAGCAGCCGCGGUAAUACGGAGGAUCCGAGCGUUAUCCGGAUUUAUUGUGUUUAAAGGGAGCGUAGGUGGGUUGUUAAGUCAGUUGUGAAAUUUUGCGGCUCAACCGUAAAAUUGCAAUUGAUACUGGCAAUCUUGAGUACAGUUGAGGUAGGCGGAAUUCGUGGUGUAGCAGUGAAAUGCUUAGAUAUCACGAAGAACUCCGAUUGCGAAGGCAGCUUACUAACAUGCCACUGACAUUGAUGCUCGAAAGUGUGGGUAUCAAACAGGAUUAGAUACCCUUGUAGUC
rnacentral:rRNA from 1 species